UUAUCAUGUCAUGAACUAUUUUCUUGUUAUGCUAUCACAUGAACCAAUCUUAACAAGCGAGCUGGCUCAUAUACUGUGUAGGCAGCAUGGUAAGAGUUGUGUUUUUUUUUAGGUUCCAGCAAAACAACCUCAAAAUGUCUGUGCAUGUUGCUGCACACUGUCAUGUCUUUGCGUUCUUUUAUUUCCAACUUACACAUUGUUGAAGGUAUAAUAACUACAGUUCAUCAUGUUCUGUCUUUUUAACUAAUCAUGUUGUGAGGGUUUUUUCAUAAUUUUUGUAAUCAAUUUGUACAACUGUAAUUGAUAUAAUAGACAUGGAACAGGUUAAUUAAUGAAAAAUGUAUUUCAUCACCUCCCAACAGAAGUGCAUGUUCAAAAGACUCCUGUAGCUGCACCAGGCCAUGUCAGACUGACUUGUAACACCAGCUGUCCUCAGACUGAUCUUCAGACUGCCUUAAGAGUGUACAGGAGCAGUAUCUCAGAGGGACAGUAUGGGACAAUAAAGGAUGUAUUUCCCCACAUAUCUAAUGAAAACUUCUCCUGUGCUGUAAAAGGCCUCAAACAUCUACACUCUGCUGCAGUCUGUGCUGAGGAUAAGAACUGUUGGAGUGUGAAUUAUGUCAGCAGGAGAAUCUGUGCUGCUCACGGCUCCUCAGUGGACAUUUCAAGUGAAUAUUCUCAUCCUGACAACCAGCAGCCCCAGUCUAAAUUAUGGUAUAAAAUAAUCAGAAGUGGUAAGAAGGAUCCUGAAAAGCUGAGUGAGGUUGCAGGUCGCGUUGAGUACCAUGGAAACAUGAACAAUCAUCACACCCUGUCAAUUAAAGACCUGACGAGGAAUGACUCAGCAGAAUACAAAUUCAAGAUCCAGACACAAGACGGAUGGAAACAGUCAGAUUUUUCUGGAGUGACGUUGGUUGUAACAGGUAAUUCUUCAGAUUGAAUACAUUAUUUUUGAAUAGUGAAUUAUUGAUUCCAAACCAUGUGAUGUACUCUCAGCAGUCAGCACACUGAAAGGCAGGUUCAAUGCUCCUUUAACUAUGGCUUGUUUUAGAAGACACUGACAAACAAUUUAUUUUGAUGAAUAGUUAUGAGACCUUGUGAGAUAGUAUGUCUCUUUCAUAUUUGCUGAUCAAACUAUCUUUCAGGUCUUAAAGUGACGUUCACUCCCUCUGCAGUGGUGACAGAGGGUCAGAGAGUCACACUGACCUGCAACACCAGCUGUCCUCUGAACACAGACUACAUCUGGACCUUCAACAGUCGACCUCUGAACCUGCCAGAGAGCCAAAACAAACACCUGGUUCUAGACCCAGUCAGCAGUCAGCAUGAAGGAAGGUACUCCUGUAUGGUCAAAACUGGCAGAAGAACCAUUGGCUCAAGUGAAAAAACUCUGACUGUCCAAAAUGUUGAACAGGAACAAACAUCAGCAGCAGCUGCAGGAGUGUGUGCUGCUCUCCUGGUUUUAAUACUUCUCGCUGUCUUUUGCUGGAUUAGGUAAGCAACACUGAUCUCUGUUUCUAAGCAGUGACACACUAACAUGGUAUCACCAAUUAAUUCUUAUAUUCACUAAUGUCACCAACAAGAAAAAAGAAGACACCCAGCCAAUCUCCACGGAGUGAAACCUCAAACAACUUGGAGCAGGUAAAGAAAAUAAUUUGAACAAUUCUGCUACAUUAAUAGAGAAACUGUGGAAAGAAUUUCUCUUUCAUCUGAGCCAGAACAGCAG
rnacentral:lncRNA from 1 species